UAAUAAAAUAUACAUGAAACCUAAAUGCAUAUUAGUAAGUAAAAGAAGCUAAACUGAAAAGGUUAUAUACUUUGUGAUUCCAACUACAAGACAUUCUGGAGAAAUCAUAACUAUG